CUCCAGACUCCUACGGGAGGCAGCAGUGGGGAAUAUUGGGCAAUGGGCGCAAGCCUGACCCAGCAACGCCGCGUGAAUGAAGAAGGUCUUCGGAUCGUAAAGUUCUGUUCUUAGGGAAGAAGUCUUAGGUUGUGAAUAAUGACUUAAGGUGACGGUACCUAUGGAGAAAGCUCCGGCUAACUACGUGCCAGCAGCCGCGGUAAUACGUAGGGAGCGAGCGUUGUCCGGAAUUACUGGGCGUAAAGGGCGCGUAGGCGGGAACUUAAGUUAGAUGUGAAAACUCCGGGCUUAACCUGGAGACUGCAUUUAAAACUGGGUUUCUUGAGGGCAGGAGAGGAAAGUGGAAUUCCUAGUGUAGCGGUGAAAUGCGUAGAUAUUAGGAGGAACACCAGUGGCGAAGGCGACUUUCUGGACUGUACCUGACGCUGAGGCGCGAAAGCAUGGGGAGCGAACAGGAUUAGAUACCCGCGUAGU
rnacentral:rRNA from 1 species